UCAGCUGUAACGCACCCCUGUGGCCACUAGGAUAAACACUAAGUAAAGCAAUGAUGUGGCAUAAUACACACACUGAUACUUUGCAAGUAUCCGUCUGUCAGAGGCGACACAAAGCCCUGCCCCGCUUGCUCCGUGUCUACGGUAGAGCAAAGUCUAUGGUGACUGUAGACGGUUACGUCUUUUCAUUGGCCCGGAGUCUACGGUGAACAUAGACACUGUAGACCCUGGCCCAAUAGAAGCGCUGAAUCCCACUGUCGACGGAAGUUGCGUCACCAAAAUAACAACACGUAGUGGGACAGCGAAGCAGCCGGCAACUCCGCUAUUUUUCUGGAAACUAGCAUUUCUUUUAUGUUUACGUCUUUUCAGUGGCUACAACUGAUGAUGGCGACACUAGAAUAUCGUGUUAUAAAUCCAGAUGCCCCUGCGCCUCGUCAGCAGGCCGGGUUAGAAGUAUGGUCUUCACCAAACCUCGACAGGAGCUGCUCAGCCGAGUCGCUGCCUUCACUCACGCACAGAGGGUAUCCCCGCACCUUCACGUCAGCAGUGCCCGGUGGUGCUUUCGGUGGCUCGUUACAAACGAUGUGAGAUAUAUGAAGUAGUAAGUGUGUCGUAUAUUUAAUGUCAUACUAGGCAGGUUUACUGCAUUUCCAUUUACAACACAUUUACCCGUGUAUGGCUAUUGUCAGUAUAUGUUGCUCGUUGUAAACUUUCUUUAAGUGACAUUCAUUUAACAUUCACAAUGAUAUUGUUGAUGGUAACGUGUAUGAUUCCAGCAUACCUGACAGGCACUUUUGACUGUACACAGUUGAUUUUGUAAAGCCCCUUGCAUUGCAUUCAUAAUAAAGUUCACUGAUUGACUGUCCUGCAGUGCUGUUUUCAUGUAUUCCUGUUUCAUCCGCUUUAAUAAAGUGUCAUGUGUUACAGUAA